rnacentral:sRNA from 1 species
GCUGGGUGUGGUGGCACACACCUGUAAUCCCAGAGGCAAGGGAGGCUGAGGUAGGAGGAAUUCGAGUUCAGAGCCAGCCUCAGCAAUUUAGUGAGGCCCUGGGCAACUCAGCAAGACCCAGUCUCUA